UGUAGGAAAGAAAGAAAGAAAUGGGUUGGUGCUUGGAUAGCAUAAUCUCAUAGUUUGGUUUAAUUUGGGUUUGUGCAUUUGUUAUUUUCUAAAUGUGUAUGCAUUUGUUAUGUUUUGAAUGUUUACGUAUUUGUGAUUUCCAGUUUGGCUGCUACAUUUGUUAUCUUCUGAGGCAUGCAGAUCUUGUUUUUGUCAAGAGACUGAUUCUCUUCUCUACCCACAAAUCUAAUGUUCUCUUGGCAGAGUUCUCUCUCUUUUUAUUUUUGAUUGAUGUGAUUAGUGCGGCUCAUACCACAAAGGCAAUCUUAGGCUCAUCAAGGAAAGUCGAGCUUUCAAGGGACAAGUUCUAUAUAGUUUGAGACCUACACUUACUGGA